rnacentral:rRNA from 1 species
UACAGAGGGUGCAAGCGUUGUUCGGAAUUAUUGGGCGUAAAGCGCGUGUAGGCGGCUUGGCAAGUCAGUUGUGAAAGCCCGGGGCCCAACCCCGGAAUUGCAUCUGAAACUGCCUGGCUAGAGUCCCGGAGAGGAAGGCAGAAUUCCCGGUGUAGGGGUGAAAUCCGUAGAUAUCGGGAGGAAUACCAGCGGCGAAGGCGGCCUUCUGGACGGUGACUGACGCUGAGACGCGAAAGCGUGGGGAGCAAACAGG